UGGGGAAUAUUGCACAAUGGGCGAAAGCCUGAUGCAGCAACGCCGCGUGAGCGAAGAAGGCCUUCGGGUCGUAAAGCUCUGUCCUAAGGGAAGAAGAAUUGACGGUACCUUAGGAGGAAGCCCCGGCUAACUACGUGCCAGCAGCCGCGGUAAUACGUAGGGGGCGAGCGUUAUCCGGAAUCACUGGGCGUAAAGGGUGAGUAGGCGGCCAAAUAAGCCAGAGGUGGAAGGCUACGGCUUAACCGUAGUAAGCCUUUGGAACUGUAUGGCUUGAGUGCAGGAGAGGAGAGUGGAAUUCCUAGUGUAGCGGUGGAAUGCGUAGAUAUUAGGAGGAACACCAGUGGCGAAGGCGACUCUCUGGACUGCAACUGACGCUGAGGCACGAAAGCGUGGGGAGCAAACAGGAUUAGAUACCCUGGUAGUCCACGCCGUAAACGAUGAGUGCUAGGUGUCGGGGGUUCACACCCUCGGUGCCGGAGUUAACGCAAUAAGCACUCCGC
rnacentral:rRNA from 1 species